GCGAUUCGUGACGUGUCAAGUCGUGUUCCCAAAUCAGUGCGUUUUUUGACUUUUAUCUUUCUUAAAAUAUUCAUCUAAAGAUUCUUCCGGAUAUCUCUGAAAGUCUGUGAUUGUUCUUUCGGAGUCAGUGUGAAGAAAAGUGAUUGUUGGACGUUUUGGAGACAAGGUGGACACGGUGGACAGUAUCCUGUCCGUCACUGUGGAGUGGGAAAUACUGGAAAACCCAGAAAACUCUGAUUUGUAUCUUCACUGAAUUCUCCCAUCAAACCACCUAAUUCUCACCAUCCCAUCAGUCUUCAACAGAAGAAUCUCAGGCUACUCUGAUUUUGAGUCACAAUAUGGUUCAAAAAAUGUUCGUGUUAAACUGACGUCACUUCUUCAGAAAAUUGACUAGGAAUACCCUUUCUUACCCGAUGCCAGACAGAAAAGGAACAGCGAAAUCAUUGAUGAGUGGACGACAUCGGUCCAGGGAUUUUUGAAAGUCCUUUCGUUUUUCCCACCUGUGAACACUGAUGCGAACAAGCAAAAAGCAACUGUUAAGGACUCCUUGUCGUCUUUUAUAAUAUUCUUUCCACUGGGCACUCCACCUUCGGAAACAAUGGACGAUAUUAAUAAAAAAGGUGAAGGAAUACAAUUCUUCGCGGAUGGUUCCAACAAAAAGGCCAUUUCAAAUUUCUACUUGAAGUUGGACGACCUCAUCUUGAAGAUCAAAGCUAUACAUUUUAUUGGUGCAUUUGAUUUCAUUUUUAAAGUUCAUUUCGCUCUCAACAUUUAUUUUAAAAACUGCCACUCCAAUUUUUAUAAGUUAAUUUAGCAUUAUAUUUAUGGAAUUUCUCUCCAAAAGAUACCAGUUUCUUUAAAAUUUGUAGCAGCCCGUUGUAAUCUAAACUGAAAAAAUCAAUUGAUAAUGCAAUAAUGUAACUAAAAAUCUUAACCCUCUAAGUUCGAUUAAGUCACCCAAAGUUUUCAUUUUUAUUGACGAAAAUCGUCAAUAAAAAUGAAACCGGUAAACGUCUUACCUCUAACCUUGGAAAGUCCAACAGAGUCUUAUUUGGUGUAUUUUUCACAUUUAUUAACGAUAAGGACAAAAAUUGUCAAAAAAUUUAAGUAAUUUUUCUGACGAUACCAAUGAUCGAUUAAUUGUCGCUCUAAUGAAAAAUAUUACGUUUGAGUAUUGUAGUUUUUAUUCCUAAAAUGGUUUUACUUACAAAUAAUUGAAAGUAUGAAAAAUAAUUAAAAUCAAUUUUCAAUAUGAGAAUUUACAAAUCGUCAUUUUUUAGCUUAAAUAUUUACUACAAAGCAAGUAGCUAGAGACUUGAAAAAAAUAUUCUAGAUUCUUUCAACCUUUUACUUUACAAUUAUGUACAAACAUAAGUAAAAAUAACUAGAUAGUUAGGAAACAUUAUUUUCUUUAUAGGACACCGGUGUUUCAAUCGACCUUAAAGGGUUAAAAGAUUAAUUCGACUGAGCAAUGUAUGAAAAUAAAAUUAAAUUGUCUUUGUAAUAAAGUAGAAUU